GAAAAACCUGUUUCCUCAUUUUCCCCAUUUGCAUUUCGAAAUGAAAACGGAAUGGAUACAGUCUACAUAGAUUCACUUCCUACUGGUCCUCAUAAAUGUUUUACAUCAUGCAUGAGAAUUUUGAUUAGAGAAAAGACAACUACAGUCUAAGUACCAGUUAACAGUGUGCCAGUAGUAGUGUCUGAGACUUUACACAAAUGUACGUAUUGCUCACCGAGAGGAUAAAAUAAUCCUUAACAUGUAUUUAAGCUUUCUACAGGAAACCAAAUGAAGAACCAUCUCAACUGGCUCAAUUCUGACCACAUUUAAUCGUCUUAGUCUUCAUGUCAGUCUGCAGAACCACUGAUAGAUCCAACCAGGUUAGAGCUGAAGAUUAAAAACGCCAGGAAACGACAGAAGACAUGCCGCUUAUUUCACCCAAAAUGAGAACAGACGGCUGGAAGCCAGGACCGGGCACAGCAGCAUGAAGAGGCUUUACACCAAAGAGCUUCUGACCUCAUGGUCCUCCACCUGUCCAUAACUCGUGCACUGAGGGUCUUGACGUGACAGGACAGCUCCUGAACAGCAGCUCUGUGUUUAUCUGGUAAGGUUAAGUGGAGGAAGGGGCCGGGGGAACGGCGAUAAAAGGGAACUCGUAGCACAUGUGCGAGCUUUAUCCCUCCUGAGACACGGACGUCCAUUGCUAAGUAGUGAACAGACGUGGGCUGGAUUUUAAAACCAUCCAUUAUUUAGGGGGCGCCGUGCAGGAGAGAGGGGCCGCCGAGGGGAUUUCUAUGGCAUGUCUUCUCACGAUGGAAGCUUUUGGCUAAGCUCUCAUCAAAAAUGAAUAGAGGAAUAAAGGGAAAGGAGCUGAAGUCCCAUAGCAGCUGGUCAACAGUGGCACGAAGAGAGCGAGGCAAAGAAAAGAGAAGCCCAUCAGAGUUUACUAGCAGAAAGGAGCCGAGGAACUUUAUUAUGCUAAUUGGCAAUUAUGUUAAGGCUUGUUUUGAUUGAACGCUUAAAAGACUGCAAACAGCCUUUAUUUACUUUUCUUAAAAAAUAUAUAUAUAUAUAACACCGAAAACACUCAUUAUGCAGCUGAGAUAUAAGAUGGGGCAAUUCAAUUAAUUUUUAUCAUUCUUUAUCAAUUCUUUGUCUAUCAUCCAAAUAAGAAACAGGGUAUUGAAUUCAAAAUACCGGAUCGUUAUGGUAAUGAACAUUUUCAAACGAUACUCAGCCAUCAGUGAAUCUUUUUUUGUGGAUUUUCCCCCCAUUUUCUAUCCAAUUUGCUCCCUUGUGAAUUCCCACCCCUCAGCCAGCACGCUGCUAUAAUGCCUUCUGAAUCUUUUCAAAACUACUGCUCAUGUAACACAGGCGCUUUCUACCCUCUUCCACAUACAUGAGCAUUACAGAUGCCCCAUGAUUGGCUAGCGUCACUGUGAUUGACAGGGGAGAAAGAGUAUGCCCCUCCCACUCAGAGAGAACAGCUGAUUAUGCUGUCUUGGCUCCUGGCCAAUGAUGGCUGUGGCAUUGUUGGGAUUUGAACAGACGAGAUUCUCUUGACGAGAAUGUGUUUCUGUUGUUUAGUGACAUGUUCAAUAAAAUAUAAUGAAUAAAUGCAA